ensembl:lncRNA
CAAAAUGCCUGUGUUUGUAGCCAGCACUUUCAGCCAGAGGAUUUCGAAAUUGAAUUAAAGUCUCAACUGAUGGGGGUUGCCAUGUCGUCGAUCGUUGAAAAGUGAUGCUAUUCCAUAGAUUCCCCCCCCCCCCUUCAUUUCAAAGAGGAAGGCAUCUGAUCAGCCAACAUUGAAGCACAAAAUAAGUCAAGCUGAGACGAACCCUGCUGCUGUUGACCUUGACACCAGCGUUGGUAGUACAGAGCCUGUAGACUCAUUGGAUGAAAGCUUUCAGCCUGGAAUAAACUCAAUCAUCUGACUUUGAAACAAGCCAGAACAGCAAAAGGAGACUUUAAGCACAAACAAAUAAUCUGCAAGAGGUCGAAGCAUUGGGUGGUAAAGAAAGGGUACGAGAGGCUUGUCCACCUGGCUGUGGCGUGCAGAAAAGACCUGCCGGUUGUCUACAAGGAGCCUGAAUUAUAGCUCCCCAAACCCAAUAUCCCUGCCAACAGUGCCAAAGCCUGCUAAACCAGCUGCCAUUACUCAACACAAGAAAAGGUUCACCUCCUGAAGAGCAUUCUGGAACCUGCCUGGAACAUUCAAGCAACACAACAUCCAUAUUUUGUAGUAUAAUAUAGAAUGCCUAGUAUGCUCACAACUACAUUGUGGUAUAGAUAUUGCUAGUUGUUGUACAUACAGCAUAUAUAAGUAUACUGUCAAGUGGGUAAAUGAUUCCAGCUGUAUCAGAAAAGUGUUGACUUCAACUUCUGGGUCAAUUAAUUGUGAUAUUCAUGAAAUGUAUUUGGAUAAACUAGCGAAUGUCUUACUGCACAAAACAUGUAUGCCUGGACUUGGUGUAUCAUUUAAACUUUAAUUUGUUGGCAAGUAAACAUGUUUCAAUAAAACAGUAUAUUAGUCUGUCAAUAGUAAGUAGAUUAGUCUGUCAAUAGUAAGUAGAUUGACAGUAGAUUAGUCUGUCAAUAGUAAGUAGAUUGACAGUAGAUUAGUCUGUCAAUAGUAAGUAGAUUGACAGUAGAUUAGUCUGUCAAUAGUAAGUAGAUUGACAGUAGAUUAGUCUGUCAAUAGUAAGUAGAUUUA